rnacentral:rRNA from 1 species
UCCAGACUCCUACGGGAGGCAGCAGUGGGGGAUAUUGCACAAUGGGGGAAACCCUGAUGCAGCGACGCCGCGUGAGUGAAGAAGUAUUUCGGUAUGUAAAGCUCUAUCAGCAGGGAAGAAAAAAGACGGUACCUGACUAAGAAGCCCCGGCUAACUACGUGCCAGCAGCCGCGGUAAUACGUAGGGGGCAAGCGUUAUCCGGAUUUACUGGGUGUAAAGGGAGCGUAGACGGCAAUACAAGUCGGAAGUGAAAUACCCGGGCUUAACCUGGGAACUGCUUUGGAAACUGUAUGGCUGGAGUGCUGGAGAGGUAAGCGGAAUUCCUAGUGUAGCGGUGAAAUGCGUAGAUAUUAGGAGGAACACCAGUGGCGAAGGCGGCUUACUGGACAGUAACUGACGUUGAGGCUCGAGAGCGUGGGGAGCAAACAGGAUUAGAUACCCCAGUA